rnacentral:lncRNA from 1 species
AACAAAGACCCGUUGAUAUAUUUUUAAAGAGGUAUGAACAUCGCGGUGAUAUAGAAAACAUACGGAGAUGCAGCAGACCUAAAUCCUUUCAUGAUCGGUAUAAAAGAAAAUUUUCCGGUGGCGUAAAAAAAUAUCGCCGUAAAGGUUUAGCGGAAAUUACAAAUAAUUUUAAUGAGAACAUUGAUAGACCUUUCUCUAAAAGAACUGUUGAAUGUAAAAUACAAUUUGAUUGAUUCCGCACGCGGUCAGUUUAGAAAAAAAUAUCGUAUAUGUGAGAUCAACUAGAAAAAACGAGUGGCAUACUGCAUAGGAAAUCUACAUAAAAGAGGAAAUGUACACUGGAGUAAAUGGAUAUUCAACGAUAAGUGAAAGGUAGUCAUACGGCAAAAUUCUUCAGCCAAUGUCUAGAGAAGGUCGGAGAAGAGUGGUUGAUGGAUUGUAUUUUCCUUCCGUCUCAGCGCAACUAUUGUUUGAUGAUCUGGGGAUGUAUUAAUUACAAUGACGUGAAAAAUAUAACUGUUAUUGACGGGAACAUAAAUGCCUUAAAAUACUUUGACAUAAUUGACAACAAAGUGUGGUCAAUGAUUAUUAAAUUCAGAAGAGUUUUUAAACUCGACGUCGAAUAAUCUCACAAAAAAGGAAACAAAUAUUUCGGCGACUUUUGUUAGCAGGUAUACUCGAAUGACCAUUAGGAAAAAAGCGAAUGAUCAAUAUCAAGGUAACCAAUUUUACAUUUAUUGUACCUAAUAUAUCUGCACUGUGUGGUGUGAUCUAAUUUUGUUGAAAAAAAUUGACAAAAAAAAGUAGGCACGUAAAACAUCUCAAUUAUUAUCAAUUUCUAAUAAAACAACGUUUUUCUAUUGCAACGAAAGUCCUUUCAAAGUCCGAACCAAUGACAAGGUUUAUAAAAAAAUAAAUCAGCGCUUUUAUGAAAAGAUGUUCUCAAUGAACAUAAUAAAAGAGGAACGAAAGAUACAAGAGGGACAGUCAAACUCAUAAAUCGAAAAUAAACUGACAACACCAUGGCUAAAAAUAAAAAGUUCAAACAGACAAACAAUAGUACACAUGAUACAACAUAGAAAACUAAAGAAUAAACAACACGAACCGCAUUUAUAAUUAUACCUUCACAUUUCACACAAUUAGUUGUUAACCCAUUCGAACAAAAAGAACUGCAUUCUUAGCUGUUUAUUAUUUUGAACAAAAGCCUUAUGAAAAAAUUAUAAAGUAUGCACUGUUUUCUAUUAUACAUUGAUAACUUACUUCAUCAAUUUACAAUUAUUGACUUAGUUUUAUUAUUAAUUUCAGAAAAAAUGAUCAUCUUGUGGAAUAAUCUCACAAAAGUAGAAGCAAAAAUUUCGGCGACUUUUUUAACAGGUAUAUUCAAAUGACCGUUAGAAAAAAGCGGAACAUCAAUAUUAUGGUAAUCAACUUUACGUUUAUUCUACCUAACAUAACGACACUGUGUGUUGUGAUUUAAUUUUGUUGAAAAAAUUGACAAAAAAAAUUAGCACGUAAAACAUCUGAUAAAUAAGCAAUAUCGAAUAAAACAACGUUUCUCUAUUGCAAGAAAAGUGUUUCACAAGUUGAAACUAGGGACAAAGUGUGAAGAAAUACAAAACAGCGCUUUUAUGAAAAGACGUUUUCAAAGAAUAUCACAAUUAUACAAUCACAUUUCACACAAUAAGUUGUUAACCCAUUUGAACAACUAUAACUGCAUUCUUAGUUGUUGAUAAUUUUUGUAAAAAAAAAAUGGCCGAAAAAGGUAUAAAGUGCGCACUGUUUUUUUUUUACCUUAUACAUUAAUUACCUACUUCAUCUAUAAAUAAUUAUUGUAUACUUUUUAUUUUCAUUAUCAGAAGAAUUUUCAAACUCGUGGAAUAAUAUCUGAAAAGAGGAAGCAAAAAUUUCGACGACUUCUUUUUAGCAGGAAUAUUCGAAUGACCGUUAGAAAAAAAGAGAAACAUCAAUAUCAAGAUAAUCAAUUGUACAAUAACUCUAACUAAUAUAACGGCACUGUGUGGUGUGGUAUAAUUUGGUGAAAAUAUUGACUGACAAAAGUGGGCACGUAACACAUCUCAUCAAUAAGCAAUUUCCAAUAAAUCAACAUUUUUAUUUUGCAAGGAAAGUCCUUACUAAGUCAACCAAAGUGACAAAGUUUGCAGAAAAAUAAAUCAGGGCUUUUCUGAAAAGCUGUUUUCAUUGAAGAUACAUGUAGCAAUUAUACAGUAUUCUGCCAUAAGUAUUCGUAAAAACAACAAUUGCGGUCACGUCAUGGAAGGUUAAACAAGUUUUGGCCGUCGUCUCCAUGUCACAAUCUGGAUGACCGUGAAUCUAAAUUUAAAUAUAAAUUGAUCUGUAGAAAAACAUGUGGUUGUCAUGUGACACGUGCAUGAUGGCAUCAACCUUGUCUUGUAAAUAAAAUGGGUCGAAGGGGAAAAGAACUGACAUCUUAUCAGAAAAGGGAUUUCGCUGCAUUAAAUGAUGCAGGUUACCGAAAAAGUGAAAUAGUCAGACUGACCGGCAUUACACAAAGACCCGUUGACAUUUUUUGAAGAGGUAUGAACAUCGCGGUGAUAUAGAAAACAUACGGAGAUGCAGCAGACCUAAAUCCUUUCAUGACCGGUAUAUGAGAAAAUUUUCCCGUCCCGUAAAAAAAUAUCGCCAUGAAGGUUUAGCUGAAAUUACAAAUAAUUUUAAUGAGAACAUUGAUAGACCUUUCUCUAAAAGAACUGUUGAAUGUAAAAUACAUUUUGAUUGAUUCUGCACGCGGUCAGUUUAAAAAAAAAUAUCGUAUAUGUGAGAUCAAUUAGAAAAAACGAGUGGCAUACUGCAUAGGAAAUCUACAUAAAAGAGGAAAUGUACACUGGAGUAAAUGGAUAUUCAACGAUAAGUGAAAGGUAGUCAUACGGCAAAAUUCUUCAGCCAAUGUCUAGAGAAGGUCGGAGAAGAGUGGUUGAUGGAUUGUAUUUUCCUUCCGUCUCAGCGCAACUAUUGUUUGAUGAUCUGGGGAUGUAUUAAUUACAAUGACGUGGGAAUUAUUAACUGUUAUUGACGGGAACAUAAAUGCCUUAAAAUACUUUGACAUAAUUGACAACAAAGUGUGGUCAAUGAUUAUUAAAUUCAGAAGAGUUUUUAAACUCGACGUCGAAUAAUCUCACAAAAAAGGAAACAAAUAUUUCGGCGACUUUUGUUAGCAGGUAUACUCGAAUGACCAUUAGGAAAAAAGCGAAACAUCAAUAUCAAGGUAAUCAAUUUUACAUUUAUUGUACCUAAUAUAUCUGCACUGUGUGGUGUGAUCUAAUUUUGUUGAAAAUAUUGACAAAAAAAAGUAGGCACGUAAAACAUCUCUAAUUAUUAUCAAUUUCUAAUAAAACAACGUUUUUCUAUUGCAACGAAAGUCCUUUCAAAGUCCGAACCAAUGACAAGGUUUAUAAAAAAAUAAAUCAGCGCUUUUAUGAAAAGAUGUUUUCAAUGAACAUAAUAAAAGAGGAACGAAAGAUACAAGAGGGACAGUCAAACUCAUAAAUCGAAAAUAAACUGACAACACCAUGGCUAAAAAUAAAAAGUUCAAACAGACAAACAAUAGUACACAUGAUACAACAUAGAAAACUAAAGAAUAAACAACACGAACCGCAUUUAUAAUUAUACCUUCACAUUUCACACAAUUAGUUGUUAACCCAUUCGAACAAAAAGAACUGCAUUCUUAGCUGUUUAUUAUUUUGAACAAAAGCCUAAUGAAAAAAUUAUAAAGUAUGCACUGUUUUCUAUUAUACAUUGAUAACUUACUUCAUCAAUUUACAAUUAUUGACUUAGUUUUAUUAUUAAUUUCAGAAAAAAAUGAUCAUCUUGUCGAAUAAUCUCACAAAAGUAGAAGCAAAAAUUUCGGCGACUUUUUUAACAGGUAUAUUCAAAUGACCGUUAGAAAAAAGCGGAACAUCAAUAUUAUGGUAAUCAACUUUACGUUUAUUCUACCUAACAUAACGGCACUGUGUGUUGUGAUUUAAUUUUGUUGAAAAAAUUGACAAAAAAAAAAUUAGCACGUAAAACAUCUGAUAAAUAAGCAAUAUCGAAUAAAACAACGUUUCUCUAUUGCAAGAAAAGUGUUUCACAAGUUGAAACUAGGGACAAAGUGUGAAGAAAUACAAAACAGCGCUUUUAUGAAAAGACGUUUUCAAAGAAUAUCACAAUUAUACAAUCACAUUUCACACAAUAAGUUGUUAACCCAUUUGAACAACUAUAACUGCAUUCUUAGUUGUUGAUAAUUUUUGUAAAAAAAAAAUGGCCGAAAAAGGUAUAAAGUGCGCACUGUUUUUUUUUUACCUUAUACAUUAAUUACCUACUUCAUCUAUAAAUAAUUAUUGUAUACUUUUUAUUUUCAUUAUCAGAAGAAUUUUCAAACUCGUGGAAUAAUAUCUGAAAAGAGGAAGCAAAAAUUUCGACGACUUCUUUUUAGCAGGAAUAUUCGAAUGACCGUUAGAAAAAAAGAGAAACAUCAAUAUCAAGAUAAUCAAUUGUACAAUAACUCUAACUAAUAUAACGGCACUGUGUGGUGUGGUAUAAUUUGGUGAAAAUAUUGACUGACAAAAGUGGGCACGUAACACAUCUCAUCAAUAAGCAAUUUCCAAUAAAUCAACAUUUUUAUUUUGCAAGGAAAGUCCUUACUAAGUCAACCAAAGUGACAAAGUUUGCAGAAAAAUAAAUCAGGGCUUUUCUGAAAAGCUGUUUUCAUUGAAGAUACAUGUAGCAAUUAUACAGUAUUCUGCCAUAAGUAUUCGUAAAAACAACAAUUGCGGUCACGUCAUGGAAGGUUAAACAAGUUUUGGCCGUCGUCUCCAUGUCACAAUCUGGAUGACCGUGAAUCUAAAUUUAAAUAUAAAUUGAUCUGUAGAAAAACAUGUGGUUGUCAUGUGACACGUGCAUGAUGGCAUCAACCUUGUCUUGUAAAUAAAAUGGGUCGAAGGGGAAAAGAACUGACAUCUUAUCAGAAAAGGGAUUUCGCUGCAUUAAAUGAUGCAGGUUACCGAAAAAGUGAAAUAGUCAGACUGACCGGCAUUACACAAAGACCCGUUGACAUUUUUUGAAGAGGUAUGAACAUCGCGGUGAUAUAGAAAACAUACGGAGAUGCAGCAGACCUAAAUCCUUUCAUGACCGGUAUAUGAGAAAAUUUUCCCGUCCCGUAAAAAAAUAUCGCCAUGAAGGUUUAGCUGAAAUUACAAAUAAUUUUAAUGAGAACAUUGAUAGACCUUUCUCUAAAAGAACUGUUGAAUGUAAAAUACAUUUUGAUUGAUUCUGCACGCGGUCAGUUUAAAAAAAAAUAUCGUAUAUGUGAGAUCAAUUAGAAAAAA